rnacentral:lncRNA from 1 species
AGCACAAGGAAAGAAAAUGUCCAGUUUUUUCACUCAAGGUCACAGGGCCUGGAAGCAGCAGAGCUGGGAUCUGAGUAAAGAUAAUCAUAGACAGUUUGGGUAUCUGAAGACCAUGGUUCCCAAAACUACUUUACCUUUGGCCGAGCUUGGUCAAUCAGCCCUGCUUGGCACUGCCAGAGGAAACGGACUUGGAUGGGGUCUCCAGAGGCUGAAGGGCACUGUGCAAGGAAAAGGGGUAGCUUCAUUGGGCUGUACAGCUCCUACGUCUGUCGAAAAUGCAGCUGUUACCCCUGAGGGUAAACCAGGAAAGCAGCCAAAAGGAGCCGAAGGACACAGGAAGGAUGAUGGGAAAAAGGCUGACAAGAGAGCCACUUGAGUAAUUUUGUCUAUUUGAUAAAAUACGGUACCAAACAUAUCACUUCUCCAGGAAAAGGCACAAAUGUGAGUAUACUUGGGAACUAAUGGCACUUACUUAUUAUUUUUGUUUUGAUUUUUGAAGCAAGAGAAACAUUCAGUGUAGUCUUUGAAACUCUUUUGUCUUUCACGCGUCUCUUAAUUCCUGAGGUCACCGAGUCAGGACCCAUCCCUGGAGACUCCAUAGCUGAAGGGAAAGGAAGAGAAAGGACAGGAAAGGAAAGGCUGCAGUACUGAUGAAUAAAAGUAAAAGUAAAUGACAAACACACCCUAAAAAGUAACAAUCGUGACUUAAGAUGUACUUUGUACCUAAGUAGUUGCCAAACUAUAAAAUUUGAAAGUAGGAAUGAAAUCAAAAGUAACUUAAAGCAGGC